AUUGAACGCUGGCGGCAUGCCUUACACAUGCGAGUCGAACGGCAGCGGACCUUCGGGUGCCGGCGAGUGGCGAACGGGUGAGUAAUAUAUCGGAACGUACCUUUCAGUGGGGGAUAACGUAGCGAAAGUUACGCUAAUACCGCAUAUUCUGUGAGCAGGAAAGCAGGAGAUCGCAAGACCUUGCGCUGAUUGAGCGGCCGAUAUCAGAUUAGCUAGUUGGUGAGGUAAAGGCUCACCAAGGCGACGAUCUGUAGCGGGUCUGAGAGGAUGAUCCGCCACACUGGAACUGAGACACGGUCCAGACUCCUACGGGAGGCAGCAGUGGGGAAUUUUGGACAAUGGCGCAAGCCUGAUCCAGCCAUGCCGCGUGAGUGAAGAAGGCCUCGG
rnacentral:rRNA from 1 species